AGAAGAGGGUUCUCAGUUACAAGCGUGACCCUUAAAAGCGUCCUGUACCCGCUGUCUGGCAGAUGUGGAAAACAGACACACCCUAGGGUACCUGGGGCACCCUAACAAGCACUCGGCUCUCGAGACCCCACACUCCAAAGCAUCUGGAGGGCAACACAUGCUCCAUGCACAACCCUGGUGGUCGCAGCUCUCGGCACGUCCGUCGCCUGCCCGGGGAUGAGGCCUUUCAAUCUGGAGCAGCGGAGAGCGGAAAAGGGGUGGCUGAGAAAUGUCCUUGAGUUCCUUCUUGUUAAUCUGGAAAUGACAUCAGUUUGUACCACCUUCCUUCCUCAGAACCCUUGGUUUAAACAAAUUCUGAGUCUUAGUAUGGUUUUAACAUCAGGAUAUGAUUCAGAUAGAGUCCACCUUGGGACUAUUUGCUGGUAACUUUAGGUAAAAUAUGUUCCAAGAUGUAGUAAUUUCUGAAAUCUCAAAUAUCCUAGAAAAUUCAUGGUUACGUACAAGAAGAAUACCUUAACCUUACUCUGUCAUCAAGUGAAGAGUGGAGAAGGCAUAAUCUAAGAACCACCUUAAAAUCACUAAAGUGCUUUGGAGUCAUUAUAUGGUCUUUGUAUGGAGCCAUAACUGUACAAUAUUAGGAUUUCUGCUGUGAGUGAUGAGAAGGAAGGUUGUUAGUCUGCCCACAGCCCAGCUAAACCUAAUGCUCCAGGUGUGUUUUAGCUGCCUGUGCAGCUAUAGAAAUCUGACAGGACGAAACACUCUGCUUAAUUUAAUCACUCUAAACUAUGAAUUACUCUACUGAAUUUAGUUUGCCGUGGCUCGGCAGGCUCCAGGGUCAGUUUUACGGUGGAGGAGGUGCCCUUAAAUAGAAGACCCGAGUCGUGUCAGUGAAAUGGCAUUCUUGGCAACACGCUUCUCUCGAGAGCUUUUGUUGCAAGGUCACACAAAACCACUCCGGCUGUGAGCCGGCAAGGACGAGCAAAGCAAAGCAGAAGGACUCGCUGCUGCUACCUGCCCCGCUGCGGAGGGGCCUAAAAGCAAGAAACAAAGCUGCAGCAGGUUUUCACUGUCGCAAGAGUUUGUUCUUCCAAAAAACAUCUUGCCCUUGCCCCAAGCUGCAUUCCUGGUGUGGGAAGUGAAACAAAGCUGAUCUUAAUUAAGCAGAAUGGCCUGACUAUCUCUUUGGGCAAGAAAGGAAGCCAAUUUUGAGGAGAAAGAUCAAAUCUGCUUGUACCGCCUGGAGGGCUUCGGAGAGGAGGCUGGUUAUAAAAGCCGACGAGCUAAGAAAGGAUUCCCUUUUAUGGACACAACCUGAGCAUACGCUGGAGGCAGCAGCAGCAAGAAGCGCUGCGCGGAGGGGCUUCCUGGCCGUACUCGGGCUGCGAUGGACUUCGUGCCUCAUCAGUGCUGCUCCAAGAAGGAAUCCAGCCAAUACGAUGCUCCCCUGCCAGCCGGGAUAUCAAUGUUUGUGCUGGGAAAAGGGCCUGAAGAUCCCAUGUGAUUUCCAGUCGGAGGAGCGACACCAACCCAGAGGAUCCCUGCCUGCACCAGCGCAGGGAGACCCACCCCUGGAAAUGCUGUAGCAGAGCGGGUGACCUGCGCUGGGGACAGCCAGUCCCAGCGUUAGUGGUGCCUGCUGUUCAAAUAACGUCAAAUUGCUUCAUUAGGGAAUGAUCUUUAUCAGCGUCUUUCGCUGUUGCCAACAGCGGAGGCUCUGACCCUCACCGCUGGGGCACGGAGAGGGCUACAACGCCCCGCAGUCGCCUGCAGGGAGGACAACAACGCUCUGCUCCGUGGAGCCUUCUGUGGGAGGCGCAGCUCCGCGUGGCUCGCGCUCUCGGGGGUAUGCGGUGAGCGGCGGCCGUGCCGCCGGCUGCGGCUCGCUGAGCCCUUGCAGAGGGCGGGCUGCUCCCAGGCAGGCGCGGAGGAGCCCGUGCCCCACGGAGGUGCCGCCGAGGCUCGCCGGUAAACCUUGCCCUGGCGGGGUGUCGACAGGGACUCCGGAUCUUUGUUGCGGCAUGCAGUGACAUGGAAAACCGUGCUGUUAGCAACGCUGGUUGUUAGAGAAACAGCCAGGCAGUGGUAGGCCCUUGAAAUACCUGCUUGCUGUUUAGGCUUGUCCUUCCCGGCAGUCACGUGGACGCUGAGAGCAGUUACAGGUAAUACUGUAGGGUUGCAUAGAAAACAAUGUGAAAAGUGUUUCCCCACAGCGAGCGAGCUUCCUGCCAAAGGCAAACUUUAAGCAAAACUUAACACUUCCAACCCCUCCUUCUGGCUUGGUGAAAAGAGGAUAAAGGACAGAUGCCAGCGAUCUUGUCUUAGAAAAACAGCCGGUCUUUGUGAAACCAUCAAAUAUGGUGUUUGUAGCCUGAACGCUGUUUAAUUUGCAUAGGUAUUCAUAAACCGUGCCUGCCACUUAUGUGCCGUGCCCUGUACCUUAUGCUGCUGGUUGAAGUUGCUCCUAUAUCCCUCUUGAGUUGUAAUAUGUUCGGAUAUAUCCUGUUGUCAAACAUUAACUUUGCAAGUGCCUUGGAAAA